GACGAACGCUGGCGGCGUGCCUAAUACAUGCAAGUCGAACGCAUUUUCUUUCACCGUAGCUUGCUACACCGACAGAAAAUGAGUGGCGAACGGGUGAGUAACACGUGGGUAACCUGCCCAUCAGCGGGGGAUAACACUUGGAAACAGGUGCUAAUACCGCAUAAUUCCAUUUACCGCAUGGUAAAUGGAUGAAAGGCGCUUUUGCGUCACUGAUGGAUGGACCCGCGGUGCAUUAGCUAGUUGGUGGGGUAACGGCCUACCAAGGCUGCGAUGCAUAGCCGACCUGAGAGGGUGAUCGGCCACACUGGGACUGAGACACGGCCCAGACUCCUACGGGAGGCAGCAGUAGGGAAUCUUCGGCAAUGGACGCAAGUCUGACCGAGCAACGCCGCGUGAGUGAAGAAGGUUUUCGGAUCGUAAAACUCUGUUGUUAGAGAAGAACGAGGAUGAGAGUGGAAAGUUCAUCCCUUGACGGUAUCUAACCAGAAAGCCACGGCUAACUACGUG
rnacentral:rRNA from 1 species